UCCAAUGAAAAGUGGCAGUAUCGUAGCCAAUGAGGUUUAUCCGAGGCGCGAUUAUUGCUAAUUAAAAAGCUGGGAUUUUCAUUUCCCUGGGCUCUGGGGCUAAGGGUGGGCCUGGGGGUAGGGUGGAGGGCUGUGUGCAGG